rnacentral:rRNA from 1 species
GACGAACGCUGGCGGCGUGCUUAACACAUGCAAGUCGAACGGAAAGGCCCUGCUUUUGUGGGGUGCUCGAGUGGCGAACGGGUGAGUAACACGUGAGUAACCUGCCCUUGACUUUGGGAUAACUUCAGGAAACUGGGGCUAAUACCGGAUAGGAGCUCCUGCUGCAUGGUGUGGGUUGGAAAGUUUCGGCGGUUGGGGAUGUACUCGCGGCUUAUCAGCUUGUUGGUGGGGUAGUGGCUUACCAAGGCUUUGACGGGUAUCCGGCCUGAGAGGGUGACCGGCCACAGUGGGACUGGGAUACGGCCCUGACUACUACGGGAGGCAGCAGUGGAGUAUAUUGCACAGUGGGCGGAAGCCUGAUGCAGCAAGGCCGCGUGCGGGAUGACGGCCUUCGGGUUGUAAACCGCUUUCGCCUGUGACCAAGCGUGAGUGACGGUAAUGGGUCAAGAAGCACCGGCUGACUACGUG